rnacentral:siRNA from 1 species
AGAUUUCACUUGUGGUAUACCGUC